UGGGGGAUAUUGCGCAAUGGGGGAAACCCUGACGCAGCAACGCCGCGUGAAGGAUGAAGGCCUUCGGGUUGUAAACUUUUGUCUUGUGGGAAGAUAAUGACGGUACCACAGGAGGAAGCCACGGCUAACUACGUGCCAGCAGCCGCGGUAAUACGUAGGUGGCAAGCGUUGUCCGGAAUUACUGGGUGUAAAGGGUGCGUAGGCGGCUAUUCAAGUCAGAUGUGAAACUUAUGGGCUUAACCCAUAACCUGCAUUUGAAACUGAGUGGCUUGAGUGAUGGAGAGGUAAGCGGAAUUCCUAGUGUAGCGGUGAAAUGCGUAGAUAUUAGGAGGAACACCAGUGGCGAAGGCGGCUUACUGGACAUUAACUGACGCUGAGGCACGAAAGCGUGGGGAUCAAACA
rnacentral:rRNA from 1 species